rnacentral:rRNA from 1 species
UACGGAGGGGGCUAGCGUUGUUCGGAAUUACUGGGCGUAAAGCGCACGUAGGCGGCUUUUUAAGUCAGGGGUGAAAUCCCGGGGCUCAACCCCGGAACUGCCCUUGAAACUGGAGAGCUAGAAUCUUGGAGAGGCAAGUGGAAUUCCGAGUGUAGAGGUGAAAUUCGUAGAUAUUCGGAAGAACACCAGUGGCGAAGGCGACUCGCUGGACAAGUAUUGACGCUGAGGUGCGAAAGCGUGGGGAGCAAGCAGG